rnacentral:miRNA from 1 species
AGCUGUUUUGGGACUACAACUCCCAUCAUCCCUAGCUAACAGGACCAGUGGUCAGGGAAGAUGGGAAUUGUAGGCCCGAAACAGUU